AUUGAACGCUGGCGGCAGGCCUAACACAUGCAAGUCGAGCGGAUGAAGGGAGCUUGCGCCUGGAUUCAGCGGCGGACGGGUGAGUAAUGCCUAGGAAUCUGCCUGGUAGUGGGGGAUAACGUCCGGAAACGGGCGCUAAUACCGCAUACGUCCUGAGGGAGAAAGUGGGGGAGCUUCGGACUUCACGCUAUCAGAUGAGCCUAGGUGGGAUUAGCUAGUUGGUGGGGUAAAGGCCUACCAAGGCGACGAUCCGGAACUGGUCUGAGAGGAUGAUCAGUCACACUGGAACUGAGACACGGUCCCGACUCCUACGGGAGGCAGCAGUGGGGAAUAUUGGACAAUGGGCGAAAGCCUGAUCCAGCCAUGCCGCGUGUGUGAAGAAGGUCUUCGGAUUGUAAAGCCCUUUAAGUUGGGGGGAAGGGCAGUAAGUUAAUACCUUGCUGUUUUGACGUUACCAACAGAAUAAGCACCGGCUAACUUCGUG
rnacentral:rRNA from 1 species